rnacentral:lncRNA from 1 species
GGACGAGAGACACACGUGGGUCGGCCCCAGGCAGAAAGCAUCCGGGACCCAGAUCGGCCGAAUCCGUGAGAAGAAAAGGCCCAGAGACCGAGGGGAGAGAGCCAGAGCCAGACCAAGAGUGGGAGAGCCAACCACGAGGGAUCAACGGAGAAAGGGAGAAUCCAGAGAGGCAGGUGGGAGCGUGGGGAUGGGUUGGGUCCCCCCGGGAGCCACAGCCCAGACCCUUGGUAGCACACCCUGGCACCCACUUUGUCCUUCCCGGCGGGACACCUCAGCCAGGCCCAGCCCCUCCCCGAGUCCGGUGCCGCCUUGGGUCCAAGCCCCCCGGGCCCCGACGCCCCCCGAAGGCACUCACAGAGCUUCCCGCCAUGGCUGGGAUGCUGGGGCGACAGGUGUGGCCGUGGGUAUGGCUGCUGGGACCUUAAGUAGAAGCAGAAGCAGGGCGUGGCGGCCCCCGCUGACUCACCCCCAGCCAUUUCCACACCCGCCGCCCACACCUGGCACAGACCCUGGCCCUGGGGCCACCCGGCGGCCCAGCGCCUUCUUGCUGGGCCCGGGACUUCCCUCCACUCACUGAGGGUUCCCAGUCCACCGCCCGCCCCCUCCGUUGAGCUAAGAAUCCUGAAGACAGUUAAGGACGAACCGCCAAGGACAGAGGGGACCCAGGGGGCCACCAUCCAUCCCGGCCAUGUCCCUGCCGCUUGGCACAGGGGAAAGGGUCUUUGCCCUUUUUAUCUUGGACACCUGGGGCCCCGAGAGGCCCACCCGGGGCUGGAAGCGGGGGCCCCUCUCUCCCAGGCUGGGACCUGCGCCUUGGGCUGAGGACGCGUCCACCGAAAUUCCAGCUCACGCUCCCUCGCGUGACGGUGACCCCGGCAAGGACAGCACUGUGCCCGCGGGGCUCCGGGGGGCAGGACGUGUGCCUGAUGAGCCGCGUCUCCCGGGGCCUAGAGCAGCGGCUGGUACACGGUCUGGGCUCCUCAAGUGCGCCUGAAAGACGAAUAAGGAACGACACCAGCGCCUGGUCUGAGGCCCUGGGCGCCUGGCGCACACAGGGCCUCCCCGAGCGCUCACCGCUAGCCGAGCGGGGAAGGGGAUCACUCGCCCCCACUUCACAGACCAGGAAACCGAGGCUCAGACACGGGAGGCCGUUUGCCCGAAGGCGCACGGCCGGGCAAUCCCUGGGUGAGUGUCUCUCUGCCCUUCUUCAACUCUGGCGGGUUCCGCCUUGUUUCUUCUGUCCCUGGGAAUGCCCUGGUGUCUCUCCCUGGCCCUCUGGCUCGGACUCUCUCUCCCUCCCGGGUGGCCCUGUCUGCUUCUCUUCCUCAACGCCAGGUCUCCUUCCUCCUCCCAGAAUGGCUGCCGCUCUCCCAGCCAGGUUCGGGUCAGGGGAGGCAGAGGGGGGCCGUCCUGGGACCCAGCCGCGCCCUGACCCAGGAGCAGCGACGUGGGAUCCUCCACUCAGGCCCACAGCCCAAGAUUCCGUAGUCCCAGAUUCCAGAAGAAGAAUCCAGGAUGGGAAGGGUGGGGUCAGAGGGAGAAUGCUGAAAGAAGGUUCUGGAAGGUAGGGAAGAGGCAGGG